GCCUUCGUAGUGUAGUGGUCAGCUCACUCCGUGAGUAUUUGAGAGGUCCGUGGUUCGAAUCCCGGCGAGGGCA
rnacentral:tRNA from 1 species